rnacentral:rRNA from 1 species
GACGAACGCUGGCGGCGUGCUUAACACAUGCAAGUCGAACGGAAAGGCUCUGCUUUUGUGGGGUGCUCGAGUGGCGAACGGGUGAGUAACACGUGAGUAACCUGCCCUUGACUUUGGGAUAACUUCAGGAAACUGGGGCUAAUACCGGAUAGGAGCUCCUGCUGCAUGGUGGGGGUUGGAAAGUUUCGGCGGUUGGGGCUGGACUCGCGGCUUAUCAGCUUGUUGGUGGGGUAGUGGCUUACCAAGGCUUUGACGGGUAGUCGGCCUGAGAGGGUGGACGGCCACAUUGGGACUGAGAUACGGCCCAGACUCCUACGGGAGGCAGCAGUGGGGAAUAUUGCACAAUGGGCGGAAGCCUGAUGCAGCAACGCCGCGUGCGGGAUGACGGCCUUCGGGUUGUAAACCGCUUUCGCCUGUGACGAAGCGUGAGUGACGGUAAUGGGUAAAGAAGCACCGGCUAACUACGUG